AUGUCUGCUAUCAUGUUGAAAGGUCUUGCAGAUGUAGCAGCAAAAGGUGUUAGGACUGACAAAGGAUUCAAGGAGGCCGAUAAAAUGAAAGUUGCAAAGGCUUUGACCGCUUUUGUUGGUUAUGAUGUGAGUAACACCCAGGUGCACAAUCAUCUUCGCAAGUGGCGGACUAGGUGGCAAAGAAUUGUUCAUCUCCGUGGAUUAAGUGGUGCACUUUGGGACGAUGACAAGAAAAUGAUAGUCCUAGAAGAGCAACACUAUUUAGACCACACUCAGGGCCAUCCAACGGAUGCUGAAUUACUGAACACACCGCUUGAGCACUACAAUUAUAUGGAACUUUGCUUCGCUGAUAAGCUCGCCACUGGGAGGUUUUCAAUGGGCUCUGGUGUGCCAUUGGGAAAACCUGUUGAUGUGGAGGGCAAAGGAAAACCCAUUGUUGUGGAGGGGCAAGGAACAAGUGGCGAGGGAUUUGUGAAUGGUCCUGUUGGGGCUGAGUUCGUAUUUGUUGGUGCUAGUGAAACUAAUGAUCCUUCUCCUAGUACAACUAAGAAGAGGAAGAGGACAUCUGUUAUGACUGAAGAAGACUCAAUCCAGGUUAACAACAUGUCUGAUGCUGUGCGUGAGAUUGCAAGUGCUAUCAACAACACAUGCCAUACCGAAACACACCCUGAGUUGUACAAGGCUGUAAUGGACCUUGUUGAGUAUGAUCUCGCUAAGCGGUUGGCUGUUUUAAAUUAUCUGACCGAACAUAAGGGAAAUGCCUUAAUUUUGUGA
rnacentral:rRNA from 1 species